GGGCUGGCUGCCAGGGCUGGCGGAGGGAGAUGUGGGCUGGAAAUAAACUCAUCGUGUUUGCUUACAGCUUCUUCCCCCCACCUCACCGGUUCAUUCUGUUUUAAGUCAUCCUUGGCUAGGAAGUGAGCGCCAGGAGUUGAGAGAGUGAGAUCUCAAGUCCCCACCCUGCUCCUUAGUAACUGUGGCAUUUGGGGCAAGGCAGUUCACCUCUGAAAGCUUCUUUCUCAGCUCUCGGCCUCCCUUGGGCAAGGCCUUCUUUGUAGCCCCGGAGUAUGACCCUUGACCUUCAUUCCCCAGGCUUGUCCUGACAGUGGGUUAGGUCUGUUUUAUAAAUGUUUUGGAAACGUGUGCCAUUCCUGGGAGGGGUACUUCUCCCUAGUUUAUCUUCUCCACCUCCACUCCCAUCUGUUUCUCCGAAUUCUUCACAGUUACUCAGCCGUGUCUGUGAAUGAAGUGUUGGGAACCGGAGACAGGCCAUCUCUAUCUGGUUUUCAGGAUGCACUAUCUCCAGAAUGCCACUCACAGCAUCUCUGUAUCUGCUGCUUCCCAGAGGUGGUUCAUAAAUUCCCAAUGUGUUUGUUCGUCACGUGGUGAAAUCCACCAUUUCUUGCUUUAGCCACAUUUAGGUAUCCAGUGCAGUGACCUCAAGUAUGUUACAGUGCUGUGGAAUCAGCUCCUGCGCCAUCUCUAGAACCUAUUUAUUUUGUAAAACCAAGACUGCAUCCAGUCAUCUAGCUCUAUAACCAUUUCCCCUCCCCUGCCCUUUCUCAUUGAGUCUGACUGCCUCAGCUAAAGGCAACCAUACAGUUUUAUGACUUGUGUCUUCAAGGAUCAUCCAGACUGUUUUGUGGGGAACUGAGAGAGAAGUUUUCAGAACAUCUCAAAAUUAGAUAGAAAAGACAACAUUUUUUCCCAGAAGCCACUGUGAAGGAAAGACUGAAUGGACUAUACACUACUUUAUUUAGGUAUUUUUUUUUCAUACAUACAUACAUACAUACAUACAUACAUACAUACAUCUUGCAGGACCACAAAGUUACUUUCUUAAAACAGAUGUAAAACCAUGUGGUCUAUCUGCACAGCUGGACCUCAGCUGAGCAUGCAGAAACUGAAAGACACCAGCAUAUGACGUGUAGAAUGGGAUUACAGCUUUCUUCCCAAAUGUUUAUUUCUCUUUCACAAUUUUCCUGGCGACCAAAGAGCCCCUGAGAAAGAAUGCUCGAGCCAUUCCCACAGAUGGAGUUCAGGCAUUGUGACAGUCACUCCUAAUUGUCAGUUUGGCUGGAUUUAUAAUCAUGUAGGAGACACAUCUUUGGGCAUGUCUGUGAGGGUGUUUUCAGAGAGGAUUAGCAGAGGAGGCAGGGACGAUGUACCAUGGUGGGGACCCAUUCCACAGGCUGGAGGGGCCGGUACUGGAUUAAAAUGGGAAAAGGAGAAAGCCAGAUGAAUUUCCACAGUUGUCUCUUUGUUCUGCUUUUGGUCCCUGGGAUGUGAGCCAGCAGCCACGUUGCUACCACAGAUGGGAGCUGGUCCUACUGUCAUGCUUUCCCCCUCAUGAUGGACUGGAUCCCUGGAGCCAUGAGCCAACAUAAACCUUCUUCACUUCUGUUGCUCCUUGGCAGGACAUAGCAAUCAGAAAAGUAAUACAGGCAUGUACUGUACCCACUUUUCUUGCAGAGAUAGGAGUGGUUCGAGGGGUUCUGGCUACAGUCAAGUUUCAGAAGGAAAAAUUGGGAAGGAGAAGUAACUGAAGGGCAAGUGCAGCUGGCACCAGAGGGAAGCAGCAUUGGAGUCCUGAUGUGCAGACUAGAGUGGGCAUUUAAGCAACUAUGAAGGUGUAAAGUAGGCAGGAAUCCCAGCUCUCAGGCCUGGUGGUGGACUCCUGACUUGGUGUGUCAUACCACGGAGGCAGUUUCUUUAUUGUUAUUUUAGAUAUCAUGCUUGAAUCCAAUUAAACAGAACAGAGGGUGGAGGUCAGGAAGAUGGCUCAAUGGUUAAGGCAUUUGUUGUGCAAGUGUGAAGACCUAUGUUCGAAUCUCUGGAAACUGUGUAAAGCUGGACGCAGUAUCUCAGGCAUCCCAGAGAUCCUACAGCAAGCUGGGAGACAGGGGUGGGAAAUUCCCAGAAGCUUGAAGGCCAAGUAGUCAGAUGUACACUGAGUUGAACAAGAGACCCUGUGGUGGUUUGAAUAAGAAUAGGCUCAUAUAUUUGACUACUUGGAAUUAGGAGGUAUGACUUUGUUGGAGUAGGUGUGACCUUAUUGGAGGAAGUGUGUCUCUCAGGGUGGGAUUUGAGGUUUCAAAAGCCCAAGCCAGUCCCAGUGUCUCUCCUGCUGCCCGUGGAUCCAGAUAAAGAACUCUCAGCUACUUCUCCAGCACCAUCUCUGCCUGCAUGUGGUCAUGCUCCUCACUGUGAUGACAAUGAGCUAAAUCUCUGAAACUGUAAGUCAGCCAGCCCUAAUUAAAUGCUUUCCUUUAUAAAAGUUGCUGUGGCCUAUGGUGUCUCUUUGAAGCAAUAAAACACUGACUAAGACAACCUUAUCUCAAACAAAGUGGAAGACCAGGAUCAACACCUAAGGUUGCCCUUUGACCUCUAUAUACUUACACAGUGGCACAAAUAAUCUUUAAAUGUGAACACACACACACACACACACACAUACACACACACACAGACACACACAGAGACGGAGAGGGAGAUGGGUUGGGGGGGUGACUAUACAAAUAUGUAGUCCCAUACCCAAAUGUAGCCAUUGAUGACAACUUAGGAAUGUGACGGCCACUUAGAGUAAUGCUUCAGAGACUUCAGCAUGCAUAUAAAGUAGCUGAUGUAUUUUGGGAUGAGGCCCAAGAUUCUGUACUUCUAAGGAGCUUGCAGGCAACAUUGAUGCUGUUGUUCGAGACCUCCUGGAGGUCUAAGGAACUAGGGGGGCACCGUGAUAGCACCAUAGUCUCCGGAGUCUGGAGCUCAGCAGCCUGGAGUGGUACAGCCCAUGACUUUUAUGUUCUGCUUUGAAUCCAGAACCAAUAAAAUCCAAAAGAGCAUUUUCCUCUAGAGGAAAUAUGGUUUGAACCUGUAUGAGGCUAUUUAUAAAAUUUACUUCUAAGUUUACAUGAAUAUCACAUUUUUAUUGUGAGUCUAUUAUUGUGUUUGAUUAUAAGAAGUUGCAUUAGACUCUGUUGGGGUGAUGCUAGAGAGGCAUUUUACCAUAUUCCAGAGCCCCAAAUUCUGAAUCUUGAAAUAUUUUUGACUAUAAGAGUUUGUGCUGCAUAGCAAUUUCUUCUAACUUAAAACCUUCCAACUUGGGGAAAGCUCAUUAAGACAAGGGAUGUUCUUUAAAAAUGUUUUUCUUUAAAAAUAUUUAAUUAAUUUUUAAUUGAAUAUAGAUUCUUCUCUCAUAGCAUAUAUCCCUACCAUAGUUUCCCCUCCCUCUAUUCCUCUCAGCUCCCCUCCCCACCUGCCCUCUCCCUCAGAUCCAUUCCCCCUCCAUUUCCUCUCCAGAAAAGAGCAGACCUCCAAGAGACAUCAGCCUAAUAGGACAAAACAAGAUACAGUAAGACAAGGCAAAAGUCCUCAUGUUGAGGCUGGACAAAGCAACCCAAUAAGAGGAAAAGAGUCCCAAGAGCAGACAGAGUUGGAGACACACCUACUCCCACUGUUAAGAGUCCCACAAAACACCAGGCUAUCAGCUAUAACAUAUAUAUAUAUAUAUAUAUAUAUAUCAAUCAUAUAUGCAGAGGACUUGGUACCGACCCAUGCAGCCUCCUUGUUUGAGGGGGUAUGGGUAAGAGAGUAGGAUGACAAGGGAUAUUCUAAAGUGAGGUGGAACAUUCCAUUCUGCAGGUAAUCUUAAGCUCAGGAAAUAAACAAUUCAAAGGCUUCAGGAAGUUCCUGAAACUGACCAGAUUCACUAGGUCUCUCCCUUCCCAAGCAUAUAUAGUCUCUAUAGUCUGGAGCUCAGCAGCCUGGAGUGACACAAUUAAACAAGCUGAUCUGCUUAAAAGACACUCAACAAGCACACAGCCCAGAAGAAGCUCAAACCAACCGAAUUACCUGGAAAGGACACUCUCCCACCCGUUAAGAUAUCUACAGGCUAUGCAGUGUGCUCCAGGUCACAGCUUUUUUGAGCCAUCACCCAUGUUAGGGUGGACUUUUGGUCAUACAACUGUCUUUGAGUAAUUUCUGCUGCUCUAAGUAACCCCUCAC
rnacentral:lncRNA from 1 species